rnacentral:rRNA from 1 species
UACGAAGGGUGCAAACGUUGCUCGGAAUUACUGGGCGUAAAGCGCACGUAGGCGGCUUGUUAAGUCGGAGGUGAAAUCCUGGAGCUCAACUCCAGAACUGCCUUCGAUACUGGCGAGCUCGAGUCCGGGAGAGGUGAGUGGAACUGCGAGUGUAGAGGUGAAAUUCGUAGAUAUUCGCAAGAACACCAGUGGCGAAGGCGGCUCACUGGCCCGGUACUGACGCUGAGGUGCGAAAGCGUGGGGAGCAAACAGG